rnacentral:rRNA from 1 species
GUCGAGAAUCUUUCACAAUGGGGGCAACCCUGAUGGAGCGACGCCGCGUGGAGGAUAAGGUCUUCGGAUUGUAAACUCCUGUCAUGCGUGAACAAGGUUGCUUGGUUAAUACCUGGGCAAAUUGAUGGUAACGCAAGAGGAAGAGACGGCUAACUCUGUGCCAGCAGCCGCGGUAAUACAGAGGUCUCAAGCGUUGUUCGGAAUCACUGGGCGUAAAGGGUGCGUAGGUGGCGUGGUAAGUCAGAUGUGAAAGCCCGGGGCUCAACAUCGGAACUGCAUCCGAUACUGCCAUGCUAGAGUACUGGAGAGGUGACUAGAAUUCUCGGUGUAGCAGUGAAAUGCGUAGAUAUCGAGAGGAAUACCAAAGGCGUAGGCAGGUCACUGGACAGUUACUGACACUGAGGCACGAAGGCCAGGGGAGCGAACGGGAUUAGAUACCCGAGUAGUCC